AGUGAACGCUGGCGGCAGGCCUAACACAUGCAAGUCGAGCGGCAGCGCGGGGGCAACCCUGGCGGCGAGCGGCGGACGGGUGAGGAAUGCAUCGGAAUCUACCUCGUUGUGGGGGAUAACCUCGGGAAACCGGGACUAAUACCGCAUACGACCUACGGGUGAAAGUGGGGGACCUUCGGGGCCUCACGCGAUGAGAUGAGCCGAUGCCGGAUUAGCUAGUUGGCGGGGUAAAGGCCCACCAAGGCGACGAUCCGUAGCUGGUCUGAGAGGAUGAUCAGCCACACUGGAACUGAGACACGGUCCAGACUCCUACGGGAGGCAGCAGUGGGGAAUAUUGGACAAUGGGCGCAAGCCUGAUCCAGCCAUGCCGCGUGUGUGAAGAAGGCCUUCGGGUUGUAAAGCACUUUUGUUGGGGAAGAAACCGGUCGGAUUAAUACUUCGGCUGAAUGACGGUACCCAAAGAAUAAGCACCGGCUAACUUCGUG
rnacentral:rRNA from 1 species